UCCGCCUCACCUUCCCAUCCGCAACCGACCAACACCUCGUAGAACGCCCGCCCCCUCUCCUUCAAAAUAUCUUUUCCCGCGACAAACACCACCACCCGCCGGCACGCCAGCUCCUUCAACGGCGGCGCCAGUGCCGCCAGCGGGUUUAUCAGUGGAUCAUCAACCCCCUCUGUUGUCGGGCAGGCCAACCUCCAAACCCUCUCCGUAAAUUCCUUAUUCGCCGGGUCCACCGGGUCCAACCCCACCGGCUCGCUACCCAAGAAGUAGGGGUGCACCAGUGCCAAUCCUUCGAUCUUCAUGCCGGCGCCAGCACGCAUCGCUAAGUUAUAAGCUAUGUUCGCACCGGC
rnacentral:misc_RNA from 1 species